rnacentral:rRNA from 1 species
UUCAACGGCCGCGGUAUUUUGACCGUGCAAAGGUAGCGCAAUCACUUGUCUUUUAAAUGAAGACCUGUAUGAAUGGCAAGACGAGGGCUUAACUGUCUCCUCUUUCUCGUCAAUGAAAUUGAUCUCCCCGUGCAGAAGCGGGGAUAAGCCCAUAAGACGAGAAGACCCUGUGGAGCUUUAGACAACAGAGCAGACCAAGUAAUAAUCUCCAAUUAAGGAGUUGAACUGAUUGAGUUCUGCCCUAAUGUUUUAGGUUGGGGCGACCGCGGGGCAAUAGAAAUCCCCCACGUGGAAUAGGAGCAUAUUACCUUUACAACCGAGAGCUACAGCUCUAAGAAACAGAAAUUCUGACCAUCAAGAUCCGGCACGCCGAUCAACGGAACAAGUUACCCCAGGGAUAACAGCGCAAUCUUCUUUUAGAGCCCAUAUCGACAAGAGGGUUUACGACCUCGAUGUUGGAUCAGGACAUCCUAAUGGUGCAGCCGCUAUUAAGGGUUCGUUUGUUCAACGAUUAAAGUCCU